rnacentral:rRNA from 1 species
AAAGGGUCCGUAGGCGGUUUGGUAAGUCAGUGGUGAAAGCCCAUCGCUUAACGAUGGAACGGCCAUUGAUACUGCCAGACUUGAAUUACUAGGAAGUAACUAGAAUAUGUAGUGUAGCGGUGAAAUGCUUAGAUAUUACAUGGAAUACCAAUUGCGAAGGCAGGUUACUACUAGUGGAAUUGACGCUGAUGGACGAAAGCGUGGGGAGCGAACAGGAUUAGAUACCCCGU